GGAUACUACCCUGGCUGUAUUGACCUUCUAACCCGCCGCCCUUAUCGGGCGGGGAGACAGUGUCAGGUGGGCAGUUUGACUGGGGCGGUCGCCUCCUAAAAAGUAACGGAGGCGCCCAAAGGUUCCCUCAGAAUGGUUGGAAAUCAUUCGCAGAGUGUAAAGGCACAAGGGAGCUUGACUGCGAGACCUACAAGUCGAGCAGGGACGAAAGUCGGGCUUAGUGAUCCGGUGGUUCCGCAUGGAAGGGCCAUCGCUCAACGGAUAAAAGCUACCCCGGGGAUAACAGGCUUAUCUCCCCAAGAGUCCACAUCGACGGGGAGGUUUGGCACCUCGAUGUCGGCUCAUCGCAUCCUGGGGCUGUAGUCGGUCCCAAGGGUUGGGCUGUUCGCCCAUUAAAGCGGUACGCGAGCUGGGUUCAGAACGUCGUGAGACAGUUCGGUCCCUAUCCGUCGCGGGCGCAGGAAAUUUGAGAGGAGCUGUCCUUAGUACGAGAGGACCGGGAUGGACGCACCGCUGGUGUACCAGUUGUUCUGCCAAGGGCAUCGCUGGGUAGCUAUGUGCGGACGGGAUAAGUGCUGAAAGCAUCUAAGCAUGAAGCCCCCCUCAAGAUGAGAUUUCCCAUUCCGCAAGGAAGUAAGAUCCCUGAAAGAUGAUCAGGUUGAUAGGUCUGAGGUGGAAGUGUGGCGACACAUGGAGCUGACAGAUACUAAUCGAUCGAGGACUUAACCAUUUU
rnacentral:rRNA from 1 species